UGGGGGAUAGUUUAAUGGUAAAACGGGAGACUUUGAAUCUCUUGUUCCUGGUUCGAGUCCAGGUCCCUCAGCCA
rnacentral:tRNA from 1 species